rnacentral:rRNA from 1 species
UACGUAGGGUGCAAGCGUUGUCCGGAAUCAUUGGGCGUAAAGCGCGUGUAGGCGGUUCGGUAAGUCCGCUGUAAAAGUCGGGGGCUCAACCCUCGAACGCCGGUGGAUACUGUCGAGCUUGAGUACGGAAGAGGCGAGUGGAAUUCCUGGUGUAGCGGUGAAAUGCGCAGAUAUCAGGAGGAACACCAAUUGCGAAGGCAGCUCGCUGGGACGUUACUGACGCUGAGACGCGAAAGCGUGGGGAGCGAACAGG